CCUACAGGAGGCAGCAGUGAGGAAUAUUGGUCAAUGGGCUUACGUCUGAACCAGCCAAGUCGCGUGAGGGAAGACUGCCCUAUGGGUUGUAAACCUCUUUUGUCAGGGAGCAACGCCGGCUACGUGUAGCCGGACUGAGAGUACCUGAAGAAAAAGCAUCGGCUAAUUCCGUGCCAGCAGCCGCGGUAAUACGGAGGAUGCGAGCGUUAUCCGGAUUUAUUGGGUUUAAAGGGAGCGUAGGUGGAUUGUUAAGUCAGUUGUGAAAGUUUGCGGCUCAACCGUAAAAUUGCAGUUGAAACUGGCAGUCUUGAGUACAGUAGAGGUGGGCGGAAUUCGUGGUGUAGCGGUGAAAUGCUUAGAUAUCACGAAGAACGCCGAUUGCGAAGGCAGUUCACUGGACUGCAACUGACACUGAGGCUCGAAAGUGUGGGUAUCAAACAGGAUUAGAUACCCGUGUAGUC
rnacentral:rRNA from 1 species